UUUGUUGGCUUUGCUUUCUAGUGGUUACAAGAGGCUACUGGAGAUGGAAGACGCUUGAAAGUUCAUGGGUGAGAAUGAGGGAGAGAUUGGCUAAGGAGGAGAGGGUACCUGGAAGGAACACAGGGUGAGGAGGCAGGGGCAGCAGGCACACAUUCUGCCCACCUUGUGAUUCUUGAAUGGGACCGAUUCUGCCCAGUCAGCACUACUCCAAAACAAAAGAAGGCAAAUAACCUGUGUGUGGCUGUUACUUGACCCUAGUGCACUACUUGAAUGGUUGAACUGACCGAGACUUAGGAAGCUGCUAUUGGGAAGGGUGGUUGGCAUUGCCAUCAGAAGUGUUUGCUCUAAAUCAUGACAUUCAUCUGUGCACAGCCGUCAGAGCAUCACUGUUUCCAGAGCACCUUUCGAAACUCAACUGCAGAGGUCAGAAAGCGGUACUGGCUGUUUAUACUGCUUCCCCCUCCCUCUGUGAGUUUCUUCAUUACCUGCGUCUCCUCUCCUGAACACAGCUAAGAAGCAUUCCUAGCCCUUGUGUCUAAAUGAGGUCAAGCAAUUGGGCAGGAUAUCAGAAGCUCCCUGCUAACGCACCUGGGAAAGCAGCAGAAGAUGGCCCAAGUGCUUGGGCCCCUGCAUCCACAUGGGAGACCCAGAUGAGGCUCUUGGCUCUGGCCCCACCCAGCCCUGGCCCUUCGACCAUUAAAGAGUGAACCAGUGGAUGGAAGAUCUCUUUCUCUUUCUCUGUCUCUCUCUUUGUCAGUCUACCUUUCAAGUAAAUAAAUACAUCUUUUUAACAAACAACAACAUAUAUAGUAUAUUUGCUUAUUUCCUUUUAUU